AUCCACAUACUCGUGAAAGACGAAGGACAUCUUUGAACGCGCGUGCCAAGGUAGGGAGGUACCACACGCACCCAGACAGAUAGGCACCGACGAGGAGCAGGCUUUAUUGUCACAGAGGCGGCAGUACCCACACGACUCGCGCGCCUACGAAAAAUGAAGUGUGUCGUCUGUGACGCAGACAAGGCGGGCUACCGGUGCCGUGCGUGCCGUUCUGCGUACUGUUCUUCGCAGUGCUACAAGAAACACCGCAUGCCGAGAGAGGAGGCCGCGGCGGCGGCGGCGGCAAACUUGAACGCCGCUACAUCGUCGUUCGCGCAUCUCUGCGAAACCGUCGUGGCCGCUCAGCGGCCACAGAAGGAGCGUGAUGAAAAGCGGCAGCGCACCGAAGCCGAAGCGGACGUCUUCUCAGACGUGUCGCGAGAGAAGGCCGCUGCCGCCGGUGCUGUGCGCCGCUCAGAGAACGACACGCCGCCGUCAUCGACUGCUCCGGCGGUGGAGAACGCUUUGAAAACCGCCACAGGAGCGUCGGAGGCAAACGGGCCCGUCUGUGCUGAACCGCAGCCAUCGGCACGGAUGGAGUACGCCGGGGACGCCGACGCAGUGUACAUUCUGCAGGAGAAGCAUCUCGGCGCCUUGGCACACGAUCCGCGGGUGCGGAGUGCGCUGCGCAGUCCGUCACUGCAGAAGCUCAUCAAAACCGUUGACAGCAGUCGCUCCCGGCUGGACGCGCUGGAGGCGGCGCAGUACAACAACGCCGACUUCAGGGAUUUUUGUGAUGCGGUGAUGCGCGUGAUUGCGGAGGUGGAGGGUCGGUGAGGGCUCUGCGCGCGACCUCAUCCUCGCACAGCAGGGGGCGGACGUUGGUGACAUGUCUCAUUCAAGUAGGAGCAGCUGCUGCGAGGCCCUGGAUGGAGAAGAGAGAAGACACAGUCGAGCCUCAGCACAUAUCUUUGGGCGGAGAGCCGUACUCCUCUUCAUCUCUCUGCCCACAUCUCUCACGCUCCUUGCUGCACGCCCGCUUCCAUGAAGGAUCACGCCACGGCUUUAAAAGCGGGGUAACCUCUUCCACACACACACACACACACACACAUACACAUACACAUACACAAAACAAAAAACAACACAAAUAACAGUGCUGAAAAGGAUGAGAUCGCUAGCGCGUACGCGCAAGGGCGGAAGAUAUGCGCAUAUGUGCGUGCAUGGUCGUCUGUGUCUGUGCUUGCCUUGUAGGCACUGCCACCGAGAGCGGAGGGACGCUUCGGUUGCCGUGCCGUUGCCACUCUACCGCCUUCCGUGCCCCCGCCCUUCACGCUGAUGUGAGCUGACGGUUACUUCUCAACGUGAGAAGCCGUCAAAACAGACGAGAGGGCGAAUGAUGCUGAACUGUUCUCUAGCGUCUGCGUUUUCUUGCUGCUCUUCAUUCGCCUCUCUCCUGCGCUGACCGACCACUAACUCCACCUCCUCAAUCUCUCGUUGCGUGUCUGCACCUUUUCAUACCCGCCAACGCGCAUGCGCAACAUACGUGGUGCCGCGUGCUGGUUCGAUUCUGCAUUCCCCCUCCCCACCACCUCUCCCCUCUCUUGUCUGCAUGUGCUCACAUUCGUGCACAUGGAAAAUGAGCGCGUCUCAAAAG
rnacentral:misc_RNA from 1 species